CUACGGGCGGCAGCAGUUAAGGAUUUUCUGCAAUGCGCGCAAGCGUGACAGAGCGAGCCAGAGUGUUUUUCCAUUUUGGAAAAACUUUUGUGAGCUGUAAAAAGGCUUACGAAUAAGGACUGGGCAAGACUGGUGCCAGCCGCCGCGGUAAUCCCAGCAGUCCAAGUCGCAACCACAAUUAUUGGGUCUAAAACAUUCGUAGCUUGUUAUGCAAGUCUCUUGUGAAAUCUGGCAUCUUAAGUGUCAGGCGGGCAAGAGAUACUGUAUAGCUAGAGACCGGUAGACGUAAGGAGUACACUCAAGGUAGUGGUUAAAUACGUUGAUCUUGAGUGGACUAACAACAGCGAAGGCACCUUACGAUGACGGAUCUGACAGUGAGGAAUGAAGGCUAGGGGCGCAAAAUGGAUUAGAUACCCGGGUAGUC
rnacentral:rRNA from 1 species